UACGUAGGGUGCAAGCGUUGUCCGGAAUUAUUGGGCGUAAAGGGCUCGUAGGCGGUCUGUCGCGUCGGGAGUGAAAACUCAGGGCUUAACCCUGAGCCUGCUUCCGAUACGGGCAGACUAGAGGUAUGCAGGGGAGAACGGAAUUCCUGGUGUAGCGGUGAAAUGCGCAGAUAUCGGGAGGAACACCGGUGGCGAAGGCGGUUCUCUGGGCAUGUCCUGACGCUGAGGAGCGAAAGUGUGGGGAGCGAACAGG
rnacentral:rRNA from 1 species